AUCUAGCUGACGAGUCCUAAAAUGGGACGAAAGGCGUGUCCUGGAU
rnacentral:hammerhead_ribozyme from 1 species